GGAUGAGUGGCAGAGAGGCUGAAUGCGCGCGACUCGAAAUCGUGUAUACGGGGUGACUCGUAUCGGGGGUUCAAAUCCCUCCUCAUCCGCCA
rnacentral:tRNA from 4 species